ACUGAAACACCAGUUCCUGUAUUCCUGUACAAUCACUGAAGUUAAGCAAGGUCGAGACCGUUCAGUACCUAGAUGGGUGACCACUUGGGAAUACUAAAUGUUGUAAG